UAUCUCUGUAGAGUCUGCAUAUCAAUAAGCGGAGGAAAAGAAACUAACUAAGGAUUCCCUCAGUAACGGCGAGUGAAGCGGGAAGAGCUCAAAUUUGAAAUCUUCAAGGUUUUACCUUGACGAAUUGUAGUUUAAAGAAGUGUUUUCUGUUGAAGUGUUUUGGUAAAAGUUCUUUGGAAUCGGACAUCAUAGAGGGUGAGAAUCCCGUAUUUGACCAUUACUUCCAGCGUUGUGAUACACUUUCAAAGAGUCGGAUUGUUUGGGAAUGCAGUCCAAAAUGGGUGGUAAAUUUCAUCUAAAGCUAAAUAUUGGCGAGAGACCGAUAGCGAACAAGUACCGUGAGGGAAAGAUGAAAAGAACUUUGAAAAGAGAGUUAAACAGUACGUGAAAUUGUCAAAAGGGAAGCGUUUGACACCAGUGUUGUUUUCUCGAAAAUCAAUUAAAAAUGGCUUGAUUUUGUGUUGUAUUGACCUUAAAAGCUUUCUUCACUUUUUUCAUGUCUUUUUUAAUGCACUUUUCGUUUAACAAGUCAACAUCAGUUUCUUUUGUUGUAAAAAGGUCAUUGGAAGGUGGCUUUCUUUUCGGAGAAAGUGUUUAUAGCCUUUGACUUCUGCAAUCGGAGAGACUGAGGUCUGCAGCGUAGAUCCUUCUGGAUUAGAUUCAUUUGUGCUAAGUUACAACCGUUUAUAGACAACUUGUUGACUAUAUUCGAUCCUGUAGCUUACUCGCUUAUGUAAUUUUACCUACGCUUAGGAUGUUGAUCUGUAGUGCGUGCGC
rnacentral:rRNA from 1 species